CACGUAGGGCGCAAGCGUUGUCCGGAAUUAUUGGGCGUAAGGAGCUCGUAGGCGGUCUGUUGCGUCCGCUGUGAAAACUCGGGGCUUAACCCCGAGCCUGCAGUGGAUACGGGCAGACUAGAGGUAGGUAGGGGAGAAUGGAAUUCCCGGUGUAGCGGUGAAAUGCGCAGAUAUCGGGAGGAACACCGGUGGCGAAGGCGGCGACCUGGGACAAUACUGACGCUGAGGUGCGAAAGCGUGGGGAGCAAACAGG
rnacentral:rRNA from 1 species